rnacentral:tRNA from 1 species
AGUGAAAUGGCUGAUAAAGGUGAUAGAUUGUAAAUCUAUUUAUGAAUGGGAAUUCUUUUACUA